CCUACGGGUGGCAGCAGUGGGGAAUAUUGCACAAUGGGGGAAACCCUGAUGCAGCGACGCCGCGUGGGUGACGAAGUAUCUCGGUAUGUAAAGCCCUAUCAGCAGGGAAGAAAAUGACGGUACCUGACUAAGAAGCCCCGGCUAACUACGUGCCAGCAGCCGCGGUAAUCCGUAGGGGGCAAGCGUUAUCCGGAUGUACUGGGGGUAAAGGGGGCGUAGGUGGCGUUGCAAGCCAGAAGUGAAAGCCCGGGGCGUAACCCCGGGGAUGGCGUUGGAACUGGCAGGCUGGAGUGCAGGAGGGGCAGGCGGAAUGCCUGGUGUAGCGGUGAAAUGCGUAGAUAUCAGGAGGAACACCGGUGGCGAAGGCGGCCUGCUGGACUGUAACUGACGUUGAGGCCCGAAAGCGUGGGGAGCAAACAGGAUUAGAGACCCUAGUAGUC
rnacentral:rRNA from 1 species